UGUCCUAGCACCUCAUCAGUCUGACAGUGAUGUGGGCAGUCUCUGAGUAGUUUUUUGUAUCUUUCCCAAGCUUGACAAAGAGUCUCACGGCUUGUUGAAACCCAAGAAUAUGGCUCCUCAACGCCUUUGUCUUCUUAGUGGGAAAAAACUUGACUAAGAAUUUUUAUGCUAGAUCAUCCCAAGUGUGGAUCGAGUUUGCGGGCUCAACCAUUCCUUUGCUUCCCCCAUCAGAGAAAAGGGAAACAAAGUUGAUCUGACAUAUUCCUUGGAGAUGUUCGGAUAGUUAUAUGUAUAUGUAAUCUUCAAAAAAAAUUGUAUAUGCCUUUGGGGAUCUUCACUCGACAAACCCACAAAUAGCCUUAUGGAUUGAAUUAGUUGCACCAUUUACUACUUCAGCUCGAAGUGCCAGUUAUAUCAAGCGUCAUGAUAGCCUGAGUCAUGUUCGUGAGACUAGUCCUUGCAGCCUCAAUCACAGGUCUCUCUUCAUUUUCUGCCAUCUCGAUAGGCUAUGCUUGGACUACAAUGCCCAACUCUGCAAUUCUUGCUCUUGCUUCCGCCUCCCUUCUUAACCCGUGGAAGAGUCUUUCGGGUUUAGGAUCAAAAGGCAGAAGAUCGUUAAACUAUUACUUCUUCUUAUAAUUCAAUGUGAGCACCCGUAGAGUCAGAAAUAGCAAAACAAAUUAAAUCUCGAACAAAACAAAUAAAAGCUUGUUUCAGACAAGUAGAUAAUUCCUAAAUCCCAAGCAACGGUGCCAAAAACUUGUUGGGUCCAAUCACAUACGUAUACGCGGUCGAUAAGUAAUAAAGUGAUAAAAAAUAUCAUUCCUACAAGGAUUUAUGAUAAACUAUUGUCCAAUCUAAACUAUUUAUAAAUUUAUUGCUCAAGUGGUUGUCAAGAAAAUGAUUGUAAAUUUUAUUAACUAAAUUACUAUGAAAUUAAUAAGCAAAUAAGAAAACGAGAUCGCAAGUAGAGGAAACAAAAACUUAGAAAAAAGUCAAUGAGAUGGAAAUAUUCCAGGGUUAUGGGAUUAGUGUCUCUCCUAUUGCGUUCUUUCGGUUGAUUUAAUCACUAGAUUUAUCUAAUUUGUUGAUUAGCAGGGUUUAUUAUGUUCAUGAAGUUCUUUCGAGGUUUCGCUCGCCUAUUCAAGCUAACCUAAGACUAUAUGUUUAUAGAAUCAGAAUUAACAAGAACACAUCUGUAUUUACUGCAAAAAUAACCAAGUAAGGCAACUAGAAUAUGUCUAUCCUAAUCGCUAAUCUAUUCUCCGAUGCCCGGAUUCAAGAACGUACUCUAUCCAAUCUUAUAUGCAAUCUAUAGCACUUUCGAGUUCACCUAUAAAUUCGUAGAUAGGACUUUAUUGUUAGCUACACAAUAGAAUAAUUAAGUGAGAUAUUGAAUAAACAAAUUAACAUGAUAAAAUCAAGUGAUAUCAUCAACCGUCAAACAACAAUAGUCAAUAACAACCCAUAACCCCAGAAUAAUGAGGUUUUUAGUCACUCAUGUUCAUGACAAUAAUCAAAAUAUUAUUUUUAAAUAUAAAAGCUAUGAAUAUUAGAUGAAAUAUGGAAGAAUGAUGAAUUUCGAGCUUCGUUUGUAUUUAUUUGCCUUUUUCUCCCUCAAAUAUUGACCAACCCCUCACUAAUCACGUUUAGGGGUUAUUUAUAGGUUAGGGUCGGAUUCCCCAAGCCCAAAUCCAAUUAGAAAAUAUUUAAUGCACGAACCAGGAAAGGACCAGGUCUCAAAGCUCGCGAGGCCUGGUGUGCAGCGCACCUUAGAGCAGGUGUCGCCCACUCCAGCGCCCAGUUGACCUCGCUAGGACCAGACGUCACCCGGUCUGGAGCCUGGUCUAAUUUUUAACCUUAUCAUGCUCUUUUGUGUAUAUUUAACAUCCAUGUGUGUAACCUUCAUGUAUUUUUGUCCCUCAACAAUCCUAAACAUAAAAACGAUAUAAUUAAGCUCAAACGUCACACAUUUAAUCAUUAAAACUUUACAAUUUAAGGUAAACAAUGCACUAAAAAUAUACAUUUAUAGCCAAAUAUCAAAAUCUUCAAUCAAAUGCCAAAAUCGAAGAUGAAAUCAUGGAAUAUAAUCAAAACCGAGUGGAAAACACCUCCAAAUCCAUGUGAUAUAAAUUGCCUCCAAAAUCGCCUAAAUCCGAGCUACAUAACUCAAAAUAUGAUAAAAUGACCAAGACCUUCGAAAUAUAGUACUUUAUACACUGCUCCAGGGGUACCCUUCGCGAACGUGGAAGAGGUAUCAGGUUCGCGAAGCACAAACUCAGUCGACCACAAAAUUACCCUUCACAUUCGAGGAACAGUCCUCGCAAAUGCGAUACAUAACCGGAUCAAACCUUCGCGAACAUGGCAAUGACUUUGCAAACGCGAAGACAAUUCCUCUGGCUCCCAGCUCUCCUACGCAAAUGCAUGAUCCAAGGCUCGAACGAGGAUAACAAUCAUCUCAACCUUUCACGAACGCCUUCCAUAUACCACGUCUACGAUGAACAAAUCUACCAGCAGACUAAGACACGCGUUGCGAUCACGGCUAGACCUUCGUGAUCGCGGUUGGACCUUCGCGAUCGCGAAGAACACCAGAGGUAUCAUAUUAUAGUAGAAACUAUCAAUGCAUGCAACAUCGAAAUGGUCCAAAAUCAAUCUAAAACACACCUGAACCCCUCGGGGCCCCAUUCUAACAUACCAACAAAUUCCAAAAAAUAUCAUUGACCCACUCGAAGCCUCAAAUCACAUAUAACAACAUCAAAAUCAUGAAUCGCACCUCAAAUCGAACUUAAUGAACUUUUGAACUUUUCACUUGCAAAACUCAUGCCGAACCAUAUCAAAUCAACUCAGAAUGACCACAACUUUUGCACACAAGUUUCAAAUGACAUAAAGAACAUAUUCCAACUCUCGGAACAACAAUAUGAAUCCAAUAUUAUCAAAGUCAACUCCCGAUCAAACUUAUGAACAUUCCAAAUCUUCAAAUUGCCAACUUUUGCCAAAUAGUGUUGAACCCUUGUAGAAAUAUCCAAAUGUCAAUCCGGGCAAAACAUUCAAACGCCAAUCCGGACAUACGCCCAAGUUCAAAAUCAUCAUCCAGACCUAUCUGAGCCAUCAAAACUCUGAUCCGAAGUCAAAUAUUCAAAAGUCAAACUAGGUCAACUCUUCUAAUUUAAAGCUUCCUAGCUGAGAAUCAUUAUUUCAAAUCAAUCCCGAAUCACCCGAAGACCAAAACUGACGAUACACACAAUUCAUAAUACAUCAUACAAAUCUAGUCAAGACCUCAAACCACCGAACGAAAUGUAAAUGCUCAAAAUGACUGAUCAGGUCGUUACACAUGCGAAAACGCUCCAAAAUUUUAGACUCAAUAACUUUUUGAAACGGUCUCUUUGGAUCUUAACUCCAAAGAUAUAGUCUGCCUACCCAUAUCUUUCAUGUCAAAUGACUUUGAAAUCCAUGACUUGAUAGUUUUCAAAUACUCCAGAUUGUUUUAGACCAAUAAAAUAUCAUCCACGUAAAGAGAAAGAAUUACAAACAUUCUAUUGGAGUUCUUCACAUAAAUACAAUGGUCUUAAUUGAUCAUGGUGAAAUCAUACGAGAUCACCUCCUUGUGAAAUCUCAAAUACCAUUGCCUUGAAGAUUUUCUCAUGCCAUAAAUAGAUCUUUUCAAUUUACAAACCUUCUUUUCUUCGCCUUUGACGAUGAAGCCUACAGGUUGUUCCAUGUAGAUUUCUUCGUUUAGUUAUCCAUUGAGAAAAGUUGUCUUCACGUCCAUUUGGUGUAAUUCCAAAUCCAAACGUGCAACAAUAGCCAAAAGUAAGCUAAUUGAGGUAAAUUUCACAACUGGUAAAAAUAUUUCCUCAUAAUCCAUUCUAGCUUCUUGAGUAAAGCCUUUAGCCAUCAAUCGUGCCUUGUAUCUUUCUAUUAUCCCAUACUCGUAGCGUUUAACUUUGAGAACCUAGUUGUUCCCAAUGGCUCUACGCCCAGGCGGAAGGUCAACUAGAUUCCAGACUUUGUUGGUUUUCAUAGACUCUAAUUCUUCUUUUAUUGCUUUCAUCUACUCAUCUUUUUCAGGGUUUGAUAAAGCCUCAGUCACAAACUUUGGCUCAUCCAUUUCUACGGGAGAUACCAAGAAAACAUAAUAUUAAAUCUCAUAAGUACAUUUGGGUAUAUUUUUUCUGGUAUUCUUUCGUAGUUGAAAUUCAGGUCCGUCAGAAGGAUUUUGGGAUUGAGAAUUCCCACUCCCACUCGGAUCAAGAACAUGAUCCUGAUUAAUUUGAUUAUCAAUCGUUUCAUAAGACACUUGCUGACUAUUUGAGUUUAAUAUUUCAUAAAGAGACUUUCCAUUCUUUACCUCGCCUUUCUUUGGAAAAUUAUUUUCUAGAAAUGUGGCAUGUCGUGAUUCAAUCUUAGUAACACUUCCAUCCUCUAUUUUACCUAUGAACAUAUACCCUUUGGAGUAUUCUGAAUAACUUAUAAAGAUAUAUUUCUUGCCAUUUGGGCCUAAUUUAUCAGACUUGUUAAAAGAAUCUUUUACAUAUAUAGCACAACACCAAGGUCGUAAACCAUUUAAGUUUGGUUUAUGACCAGUUCAAAGCUCAUAAGGAGUGGAAGAAACUUAUUUAGAAGUCUUUUCAUUCAAUAUGUAGGCUACAGUUAAUAACGUAUCUUCCCAAAACGAGAUAGGUAAAUUUGUAUGCGCCAUCAUGGACCUUAUCAUGUCCAAUAGUGUUAUAUUCCUCUUUUCUGCUACACUAUUUUGCUGAGGUGUGUAAGGAAUAGUUAACUGCCUGGUGAUGCCCUUUUCGUUACACAAUUCAUCAAAUUCUUUUGAUAGAUAUUCGCGUCAUCUAUUGGUUCUUAAGUUCUUAAUCCUUUUGUCUAAUUGAUUCUCAACUUUAUUCAAAUAUUUCUUAAAGCAUUCAAGUGCUUCAGAUUUAUGAGAAAUCAAAUAGACAUAACCAAAGCGUGUGAAAUUGUCAAUAAACGUAAUAAAAUAUAAAGCACCAGACCUAGCCCUCACAUUCAUUGGACCACAGAUAUCAUAAUAGAUUAAUUGCAAUAGAAAAUCAGCUCUCUUAGCCUUUCUAAAUGCUCUACAUGUAAUCUUUCCGGCAAGACAAUUUUCACAAGUUGGCAAUUUAAUUUUGGAGAAAGAACCCAAAUAUCCUUCCUUAGCCAAAUUAUUCAUUCGAUCCUGCCAUAUGUGACCUAAUCUUGCAUGACUUGUAAUAACAUCAACACCAUUAUUACUAGAAUAAUAUGCCAUAACACAAUGGUCAAUAUAGUAGUUAUACGUAGAAGAAUUACAAUCUAACACAAUAAAACCAUCAUAAUAAUGUCCAAAAUUAUAAAAAAAACAGUGUCUAGAGUAAUUCUAAGACCAUUGUGACGAAAGUUCAAAUUGAAAUCUAAAUCUAGAAGAACAGACAUAGAUACUAUAUUUUGUCAAAUCUCUAGAACAUAUAGGAUGUCAUGCAACAUCAAAGAUCGUCCACCACGCAUGUCCAUUCUGCUACUGCAUAUCCUUCUGACUUCAAGAUUUGCAUUAUUUCUCACAUAUACAUGCCUUGAUCUAGGUGAAACUCGACGAAUCUCUAUAAACACUUCUCUAUCAUGGCUCACAUGGUGGAUGGCCCCUGAGUCUGCAAUCCACAUAGGAUAAGAUUUAGUUAGUAAAACAGUACUAGAAACAUAUAUAGAUCUUAGAGAUGUGUUUUGAAAUGCUACCUUUUUUGGCUCAGUGAGCUCAUAAGCAAAAUGCCUUGGAGCUUAGAAAUUGUAGCACUUCAUCUUACUCUUGUCUUUCUACUUGUAGAACCGUUUUUCUUUCUUGGAAUUUGGCUUGUUUCUUUUCUUGGAGGAUCCUUCUCUGAUCUCCUUACCCUUUCUGUUAUUUUCUAGUUUCUCUUGUGCUUGAAACUUGAACUAUUUGUACCACUUGAUUCUUCCACAAAGGCGCUAGGUACAACUUUAGGAGAACCAAGUCGCUCGUCUUCAAGCUCCACAUGACGGGCAAUAUUAACAAAAGUUUUGAUGCUAUCAUUGUGGGCCACGUUAACCUUCAGAUGUUCCCAAUUAUUAGGAAAAGACCAAAUCACUUCCUGAGCAUGAUUCUCAUUAGAGAGAACAUGACCACCACUUUAGAGUUGAGCAAUCAUAUUUGACAUCACCCUUAGAUGUUGCUUGAUACUAUAAGCAUGACGCUUUUUGUACAUGUCAAAAUUGAUUGUCAGUUGUCUAAGGCGAGCCACAGUUGUACCGCCAUAUGCCUCUCUUAAAUAUGUCCACAUGGAUUGAGCAGUAGGAUAUUGCUCAUAUUCGUGGAUGAGAUCAUCAGCAACUAAACUUACAAUAAUUUCACGUGCAGUGGAAUUUUUAUUUUUUCAGAUAUUGUAAGUUUUCAGAUCCCUCCUGUAUUGGGUAGUGUUACCUUUCUCAGGGUGACUCAUCGCAUGGUUAAAACUUUUAAGAGCAUCUUGCUCUUCGAGUACAUACUACAUUUUACGCCUCCAGAUGUCGUAAUUUUCACCAUUCAGUUUGUCAACCUUGUUCAAGUCAGCAAUGGUACUUUUCGAUACCAUGUCUAUUAUUAGAGACAAUAUUACAAGUUUAACUCAUCAAUAUAUAAUUUAGUCAAUCUAUGCAUGUGAUUACACACUCAAACAAAUUAAAUAUAAUAUUAAUUUUAUAUUUAGUAUAAAAUCGAAAGGUCACUAUGUUUUCAUUCAUCAUCUAUAUUUAAAUAUUUUAAUUAUUAUUAAAAUCACUUCUUAGUGUGUGCUUCAUUUCAAGUCUCAAUCAAUUACAAAGCAAAAUAAUUGAUAAUACAUGUAACUAGUGAGACAAACAACAAAAAAAAUUAAAUUUCAUUAAAAUAAAACACAUAAACGAUUUACAUGUUUGCUAGGACAUACAUAUACCAACUGAAUACUAACUGAAUACAUACAUAUACCAACUGAAUACUAACGCUUGCACAUAUACACUAAAAUGUGUGCUAGGUCAAACCCCAAGGCUCUCGAAGAAAGUUCGCUAAAAUAGCUAACGCUUCCCAAUCUGUAAUCUCCAUGUAAUUAGACAAUUCAAUUCUUUUUAACUGAAAAAUAUAUACAUGUUCAGGAAUGGAAGCAUUAGGGACCAUUUUUAAUUCUUUAAACUCCCUAAAUUUCUUUUCUCUUUCCUUUUAUUCAGUCAUUCGAUCCCUUAACUCAUUUUACCUCACUCUUGGGAUAUUCCUGAUGACUUCAGGCUCCGAGUCUGAAUCAUGAUAGAAAUAAGUCCUACGACGACAUAUCCUUCUACGUUGUCCUCUUCCUCGACUUUGAGAACUCCCAUUUGGAGUAAUUCGAGUUUGUCCCUAUUCAGUCAUGUCUGAAAUGGAACCAAAAAAAUAAUAAGAAUGGGUACAAUCAUUUUGACAACAUAUAUCACAUUAACUUGCGGAAGAAUAGGGAUAAUUGGGACUAAGACUAGUAUUCUUAAUAUUAAAAUAUACAGAGAAGCACAUAAAGAAUAUGUGUGUAAGUCUACAUAGCCAGUGGUAUAGUUAUUUCCUACAGAUUCACAUUGAAGUCAAGUGGAGACAACUAAAAACCACACAACGGAAAUAAUGACUUUGAAAGUCAUAGCCAUUGUUCUCCUCUUUAAUUUCGUAUAUUGGAACCAAAAGAAAUAAGACUUUAAAUAAUUGCAAAACUAAAGUCUUCAGUACUUUUAAUCACAGAAGUUAGUGCAUCUUCAUAGAGUAAUAUAUUCACUUUAACAUCUAGUGCCCUUGCUAUGAAGACAUUUUUAAAAUCUUUCAAACAAAAACAAUAUGGAACAAAUUUUAUUCCAACCGAAGAGAUGAAAGCAAUUUCAAUUCCAGUACUAGUUCUCUCAGUUUCAAUUUAAAGGCCCCAUCCAAUCAGAAAAGAAAAUUCAUGAUUUCGAACACUUCAAAAGAAAUUCACAAAAUAGCAUGCACAGUUUCUUUGUUAGACAGUAUUUUGUCUUCACUACACAGUUCCUAUCAAUUUAUGGCAACAACGCCAAAACAUCGCAAGUAAUUAAAGUUUCCAACAAUGCCAACAACUAUGUCUUAACUAGAAUUAAAUACUGUGUUUGCUUUCCAUGUUCAAAAGUUAUCCAACAGUGAAAGGAAAAAAAAACAAGGUUACAUAAAAUCAUUAAAACAAUGAUUUGAUAACCUUUAAAAAAAUUCUCAUAAUUUCGUUAUGAUUCUACACUAGCACAGAGAAAAAAAAACAGUACUUGGUCAAGUUUUGAGGCGUAAAAUUUUAUGCCGAACGCCGAUAUUUCGAUUCGGAUUAUUACUUGUUCUUUUUCUUAAGAAAAAAAGAAAAUUCAAUAUACAACAACACAGCAAACAAGGCUCUCAUCCAUCAUAUUACAACUAGAUGAGUUUCAAUUUUCUCUUCAAAUUAUCAGUAAAGAUAAGUCAUCUAAUCAGGAAACACUAUUAGGGCAAGGAUAGUUUUUCACACAAAUUGCGAACAACAGGUUCAUUCGAACUCUGUUAAUCAACGAUGUAAUAAAAUUAUUACUCAUUAAAUCAAUUGUGUAUUCAUCUAAAUAGAACACACUUCAAAGGCUCUAAUACCAAUAAUGAUUUAAUAGUAACAGGGACAUCGAAUUUGUCUACCUGUUAACAGUUGCGGAAGAUCGUUGAAAUUUGUGUGACAGAAAUUACUCCACGCCGAUUCUAUUUCACUUUGGAAAUAAAUUUUUUUGAUUCCAUAAACUAAGUGACCUCCGUGGGUUUUUUUUUUUUGAAAAGAAAGGAGAAGAGUUCUCUGUGUUUUUUCUUGUGUCUUUGAAGAGAACGUAUUGUUCCCUUUUUAUUCAGAGUUAAGGAAGAAAGCAGUUCUAAAGAAAAUUAUUCCCCACCCAAAUAACCAUGUAGAAUAUGUUCCCACAAAUUUAUGGUGUGGAGUAACUUCUCAUAAGAGAUUUUUUUAUUUUAUCUUUUCAAAAAUGGAUCGGGUCAGCAUGGAACGACCCGCGACCCACAUCGAAA
rnacentral:lncRNA from 1 species